UCGUUGCAGAGCCGAAAACUGGUUUCCAAAUCGCCUUCAAUAUGUUCGAUAUCGACGGAAACGAGAGAGUCGACAAAACCGAGUUUCUCGUGAUUCGCCGUUUACUUGGCGGCAGCCUGAGGAACGGGAUCUCGACGAGCCGACAAAACGUGCAUUACGUGCCAUAAUGGCCCCGAGCGAAGAGAUUCUAGGCAGGGCGAAACUUCGCGAAGCUCAUCCGAAUAAAUCAAACGAAAUCGUCCCAAGUUCUUACGUAAGUCUGCAAAUAUGUAAAACGCUGUAAAUUACGCUGUUGUG